UACGUAGGGGGCUAGCGUUGUCCGGAAUCAUUGGGCGUAAAGAGCGUGUAGGCGGCCUGGUAGGUCAGCUGUGAAAACUCGAGGCUCAACCUCGAGACGCCGGUUGAAACCAUCAGGCUAGAGUCCGGAAGAGGAGAGUGGAAUUCCCGGUGUAGCGGUGAAAUGCGCAGAUAUCGGGAAGAACACCCGUGGCUAAGGCGGCUCUCUAGUACGGUACUGACGCUGAGACGCGAAAGCGUGGGGAGCGAACAGG
rnacentral:rRNA from 1 species